rnacentral:lncRNA from 1 species
ACUAGUUACGGAUAAAACAUUAUAUACUGUAUUUGCCAGCAUAUGAGAUGUACAUUUUUCUUUGAAAAUAGAUCUGAAAAACAGAGUGCAUCUUAUACGUCGAUACUCAGUUUUUGAUUUCAUUAAUUUCUGGAAAUUUCCUUUAUUUGGAGUUAUGUGAUUUUUUCCUGGUUUCCUUGCACAGUGUUACAGUCACGCAGAGUUCAGUGAAUGCGCAUGCGCUCUCAUAGACGAUCACAGCUGGGUUUUUUUAAACUUUUCCUGUUUUUGGAAACGACUUUUAAGUGUGUGAAAUUUCUAUUGUUAAAUUUUCUUAAAUUUGUUGGCAAGUUAAUGCUCAAAAACAACGUCGGCAUUGCUACAGCAUAGCAUACAAGCUACAUGUGAUUACGUAUGCUAAGGAACAUGGAAACAGCUGCAGAGAGGCAUUUCGGGCCACCCCCAACUGAGAAAAUGAUAAGAACUUGGUGGAAUCAGGAAGAGGAUUUAAAGAAAGCAACUCACAGUAAACACAACUUAUGAAGGGGAACUGCACAACGGCAGAGUUGAAAACUUGGAUUUUAGCGGAAAAGCAGGACUUUCAGUCUCUACAAAAGUGAUUAUUGUGAAAUGUGAUCAAGUGAUAGUAGUAACAACUGAUAGAGAGAUUGUCGAUUUUACUGGAUCAACCUCAUGAUGUUUAAGAUUCAUGAAGAGAAACCAGCUAUGUAUGCUGGCUGAAACAAACAUAUCACAAAAGAUGCCAGACAAAUAUGAACAAACAAUUAUUGAAUUUCAUUGCUUUGUCAUUAAUGCACAAAAAAAAGGGGGAAAUUUUGAACUUGCACAAAUAGGAAACAUGGACAAGGUUCCUCUGACUUUUGAUGUGCACUAAAACAAAACUCUAAAAAGUGUUGCUCUUAAAACUUCAGGGCACGAAAAAAUUCACUGCACAGGUGUUUAAAUCCUGCUGUGCUGAUGGAACAAACGUGCUACCACUAUUGAUUAUUAAAAGUAAGACACUAUCCAAAGAAAAUUUACCUAAAAAAGUGUUUAUACAUGUUCAUACAAAAGGCCGGAAGGAUGGAGGAAGAAGAAUGUUAUAGAUAGAUAAAAUUUGGUCGAGGAGCCCUGGCGGACUGUUGAAGAAACCUGCCUUUCUAGUAUGGGAUCAGUUUCACAGAACAGAAGAUGUUAAAAGUAAAUUUAAAAAACUGAUACUCAGUUAAUUGUUAUUCCAGAAGGCCUAACUAGUCAGCUUCAACCUUUAGAUGUCUGCAUUAAUAAAUCAUUUAAGGGAUUUAUGAAGAAGUUUAACAACUGGAUGCAGUCUUCAAAUUUUGAGGUUACACCAUCAGGAAGAAGGAAGAGGCCUACUAUUUCACAAGUUUGUGAAUGGGUCAAAGGUUCAUGGUAUGCUGUGAAAAUAGAGUCAUAUUGAAUACUUAUAAUGUCAUAAAAUAAAAGUAUUUAACUUGCCCUUUCCAUUAAAUUUUUCUGGUAAGUGUUUGUUUAUAAUUGACUGUAUAUUCUAGUAAGUUCAAUACCAUACUUCACUAUGAAUAACCUUAUAGUUUAGAACAAUCACCUGCAGGAAAUUUGUAGUCAUAAUGUCCUAAACAGAGCUUUUGGCAGAAUUGGAGUCCAUAAAAAGAUGACAGAAAUCGAUGAAAGUCUUUUUACAUAGUGCAGAAACAAAGCGGUUUAAAUACUUCUGAAGCAGUGGCUAUUCAGUGUAUUAUGCAGAGUGACUGAUAGUGCAUUAUUUUAAGAACUGCAGACAGAAGUGCAGCUUAGAGUUCUGCAUCAAUGUUUGCUGCAACUUUGACGGGAUCUCUGUCAACUUUCGUCGUCUUAAUACUGUUUUUGCUUUCAUUUGAUUUUGUUUUUCUUUUUUGUCAUGAGGAUUCCCCUCCAGAUAUCUUCUAUAAUCCUGUAUUAUAGGCAAAAAUUGUAAGUUAUUUAUGUAAAUAAAAAUUGUAUCAUUCCA